rnacentral:rRNA from 1 species
GUCUACAGCUAUGCCACCCUGAACAUGCCAGAUCUCAUCUGAUCUCAGAAACUAAGCAGGGUCGGGCCCGGUUAGUACCUGGAUGAGAGACCAUCUAGGAAUACCAGGUGCUGUAGGUA